GGGGGGGGGGGGGGGGGGGGGGGGGGGGGGGGGGGGGGGGGGGGGGGGGGGGUGGGGGCUGGGUUCGGCGGCGGGCGGGGGGGGAAUGCCUAGGGAGCUGCCUGGUCGUGGGGGAGGACGUCCGGAAAGGGGCGCUAGUGCCGCAUACGUCGUGCGGGAGCACGUGGGGGAGCUUCGGACCCCACGCUAUCAGGUGAGCCUAGGUCGGCUUAGCUAGUUGGUGGGGUAAAGGCCUACCAAGGCGACGAUCCGUACCUGGUCUGAGAGGAUGAUCAGUCACACUGGAACUGAGACACGGUCCAGACUCCUACGGGAGGCAGCAGUGGGGAAUAUUGGACAAUGGGCGAAAGCCUGAUCCAGCCAUGCCGCGUGUGUGAAGAAGGUCUUCGGAUUGUAAAGCACUUUAAGUUGGGAGGAAGGGCAGUAAGUUAAUACCUUGCUGUUUUGACGUUACCAACAGAAUAAGCACCGGCUAACUUCGUG
rnacentral:rRNA from 1 species